AUUGAACGCUGGCGGCAUGCCUUACACAUGCAAGUCGAACGGCAGCACGGGAGCAAUCCUGGUGGCGAGUGGCGAACGGGUGAGUAAUAUAUCGGAACGUGCCCAGUCGUGGGGGAUAACGUAGCGAAAGCUACGCUAAUACCGCAUACGAUCUAUGGAUGAAAGCGGGGGAUCGCAAGACCUCGCGCGAUUGGAGCGGCCGAUAUCAGAUUAGGUAGUUGGUGAGGUAAAGGCUCACCAAGCCGACGAUCUGUAGCUGGUCUGAGAGGACGACCAGCCACACUGGGACUGAGACACGGCCCAGACUCCUACGGGAGGCAGCAGUGGGGAAUUUUGGACAAUGGGCGCAAGCCUGAUCCAGCAAUGCCGCGUGCAAGAUGAAGGCCUUCGGGUUGUAAACUGCUUUUGUACGGAGCGAAAAGGCUUCCACUAAUACUGGGGGCUCGUGACGGUACCGUAAGAAUAAGCACCGGCUAACUACGUGCCAGCCGCCGCCGUAAAAC
rnacentral:rRNA from 1 species